CAAAUUUUCUUGCGUUUCUCGUGGAACUGAGAGGAAACUCAUUUGUAAGUUUACCUGAGUACGCGGGCGUACUACCAUUUGUGAAAAUUGAAGGUUUAUGCAUUCAAUGUAAAGUAUAUUUAUGAAAAAUGGGGUUGCCUCCUUUUUUCAUUGGAUGAUGAAUACCAUUUUGAUUAGUUUGUUUUGGUAGAAGUUUUGUACAAUGUUGUCAUGAUAUUCAAUCACUCUUGAUCAUUGCAGCGGUGGAUGUUGUUGUCUACGGGAAAUAGUAUUCAAAUUUUGGUAACUUGAGGACGAUUCAAUUUCUGGUAUGAAAUUCAACGUUAUCAGGAUGUAUUUCCAAUGCUCAAGAAGGAUGUGGUGGUAAUGUCAUCAAGAACCUAACACUCAUUGCUUGCUACAAAAGAUGGGAUUUCAGUAUUUCACUUUGAAAUGCACCAGUUAUCAACUAUUAAAGUUGACAGAGAUUGAGAUGUCAAACUUGACUUAGCUUUGGUUUCUUGUUUAACAGCUAUUAUAACUGGUUUUGAAUGAUAUAUAAUGCUCAGGUUCAGGUUGUCUACGUAGAAAUGAAUGCUUUCUCAUUGUCCCAGAAAAAGGCUUACAUGAGAGGGUCAUGAUAAGUUUUAGAAGUUUUAUUUCUGAGUUCUUAUAGAAUGGACAUAACAAGUAUUUUCAACCAAAAAUGUUUCUGGCUCAUGUAGUCAUGUGCAAGAAGCAUAUUUAGAUAUGUGCCUUAAUUAGAAACGCAAGAGUGCACAAACUAUGUCGGAGACAACAUAAUCACAUGAGGAAAGCUGCACAGAUAUGAGGUUAGGAGGAAGUAGGUUGUGAGGGUAGACUUAUAGGGGACCACUAUGUUAGGCAAGACUGGCUUCAAAUUUUGAGAGGAUUUUGAAAAUUUGAAGGAGAAAGUAGCAUAUCAACUCAGCAGAAAUGGAGAGUCGUUGUCUGCCAGCUGAGUUAUGGAGAAGAGUUUGAAAUCAUUAACAAAUGAUUUCGAGAGUUUUGUGUGCAUCGUCGAGGAACGAAGGACCUAUCAAAGCUCAUGGUUGAAGACUUUGAUCAGGUUCUGGAGGCGUACCGAUAGCGGAGAUUUUAGCCACUAGUUCAAGUGUUUCAAGAAAAGUUUCAUAGGGGAGAAGUUUGGAACACUCAAGGCCUAGACGAUCUUGGGAGAGGUCGAGAAUAAGGAGAAGAGGUCUGGGAAAAGAGGUCAACCAAUCUAAAAGAUAGAAGGGCCAUAAGGAAAAAGAAGAAGUCAAAUAUGAUUGAAAGAAGCAAGCUCGGUGUGGGAUGAUACACAUGGAAAGCCAAAAUAAAGGAUGAAAAAUUUAAGUUUAUGGGGGAGUUUUGUUAGGACAGACUUAAAUUUUAGGGAUUCAUUAAAAUAUUAUUUUAUUAGUUUUGGGUUUAGUAAUAUUUGGUUUGAUUUUGAUAGAGAUAAAAUAGAUAUAGGUAGUUUUGAUUUUAAGUUAGUUGAUAUUCUAUUGUCAGUUUUUAUUAUUUGUACUUGAUUCAAGGCCUUAUUUGCGCAUAUUUAAAGGUUGUCAAGGUUUAAUAAAAAAGUGUCCCAAUGAAUUGAAGUAUCAAAUAAUUUGUGUGGGUAAAAAAAAAUAAUUGUUCCUAUACUGAAAGUCUUCCUGGCAAAGCGUAUUCAGGUAAGCAACCCGUUAAGAUAAACGGCAGUUGGAAUGGUUGGAAAGGACUACUCGUGGUUGUGGUUGGUUGGGAAUGCUUCUGCUGGAAGGGGAGUGUACCUAUGUGGAAGAGACUCACCCUUGAGGGGGAGAUUGUUAGGAGUCCAAGUGAGUCUAAGUCCCACAUUGGAUAUAAAUGAGAAAGUAGAGCACUAUAUAAAGAUGAAAGACCCGUUAACAUAUUGUCUUAAGGUUUUGGGUGGAGAGUGGUGUCAAUCCUUUAUAUAGUUGAAUUCAGAUAUCAUCAGUGUUUGUGUAAACCACAGGUAACCUCUUCCGUCUCGAUAGACUCAACACUUCUAUACCUACUACAUAAACCACAAACCGCUCAAUAUGCCACUAAAGAAAUGGCAUGUGUGGUUGACCAUUUUUCAUAGUGGUGAAUUAUGUUGUUUAUUUAGAUAAAAGAAGUUAUGCAGAAUGAAGUAGGCAAGUGUUUCCCAUGUAGCACUUAUGUGUCAUUUUCCUUAUGUUUUAUUUUAUUUGCAGAGCUAUUUGCUGGAAAUGAAUGAGGAAGUUGUACUAACAAACUAAUGAGCUAAUGUUCUAUAUUAUGAAGCUUAAUGAAUGUAAUAUAAGUGAUUAAGAUCCUUUCAACUAUUUCUUUACACUAGCUUUGGUUGCAAUGAUACAAAUACAACUAAAUUAAUUCAGCGGCAUGAAUUGAUAAGUAACUAAUGCUAUGUUACAUAUCUAAGAUUCAUCCAACUUUGAUGAAUGCUAUAUUAAAGAAUGCCUAAACUUCUUAGGUUAUUCAAAAAAAUUUCUCCAACAUGAGAGCCAACCUUAACAAAUACAGCAGGAUAUCCUAUUGGAGCUUCUACCCAUUCUUCACUUCCUUGUUUCGAAAAUACUUUUCCUGUCCAUAUAUGAAACCAACUGCUACUCUCCCCCAAUGGAAAAUAAGCUUUAACUUUUCUCUUUCCUUUGUCAAGGACAGGAACCACUAGGAACUCAGAACCAACCAAGAACUGCUGAUAACUCAAAUGUUGCACCCGUUCAUCAGUCGGAUAAUGGAGAAAUAGAUGGCGGCAUACAGGCAAUCCUUUCUGGGCAGCUUCCUGCUUAGAAAAAAGAAUGGUAAGGACCGUUUUGAAUUCCUAAUGGUUUAUAUAUAGUUAAUUAGACUGCAUAGAUAAAUUCUGUGAUCACCUUAACCAGCUGAAUUCGAUAAAAUGUCCAUGCUUUGUAUACUUUUGCAAAACGUGCAAAGUGUGACAUUGUCUGCUGGUUUGAGUAAAACUGGCUGUUGCAGGAUGGUUUGUUUCCCUGCAUACAGUUCAAGCAUCAGUGACUCAUUGGUAUGCAAACAUUAUAUGACGAAACUUAUUGAAUAAAAGGUUACCUGUUUAGCUAUAUGAUUAUAUCCUUAUUAAUUCAGAUUUUAGUAUUUCUUGAAUCAACUCUUUAUAUUAGUAUAUCAGCUAAGUUGCUUCACUCCAUAUGGUCCAUACCACUAUUAUUUUAGUAAAUUUUGCAGAUCAAAGAGAAAGGCAAGAAAAGUUAAAAAAUAUUUGUAGUCUAACCAUAUUUAUUUUAAGGGUGAAAAGUAGUGUAAUACACUAUAAUGUCAAAGAAUAAAAACUUCCAUUGGUUAGCCAAAUUCUUGUUGUAAUAAAUGUAUCCUUGUUGAGUACUUCUACAGUGAUUAUAGAGAGAAGAAAAUAUAAUCAUGAUGAAAGGUGUAUGACUAUUGCAGGUAUUUUUACUUACUUCAUGGGUACGGAAGACUAUGGUGAAAGAAUUUAGCUCCAUCCACCGCAAAAGCAAUUCUUCACUUCUAUUAUAUUUGACUAUAGGUAAGUUCACUGUACAGUAUCCUCCAAUGUCACUGUGAUUAAAGGCAUAACCAGAAAUUCCACUGCUCAGAAGGCCAACAACAGAACUCUUUAUUCCAUCAUUUCUUUGCCAACUGACCAUUUGGUCUCCUUCCCAAAAUAACAUCCCCCACUUAGGGCUAUCUCUAAAACCAGCUCUCAUGAAGAAAACCAAACCUUCUUCUUUGUCUUUCUUUACCUUGUCCAAGGAGUUACUUUUCCAUUCUUCCACGAUCUCUCUGUUAAUUUUGGCCCAUAGUUCCGGGUAUCUGUUAUGAGCUGAAAUAGGAUCUUCACCUGAAACGGAGUGUGCAUCUUCUUAGUAAUAAUCACAUGCUCAGUCUAGUUUUGUUCUCUCAUUUUUUUGGUUAGGAGGUUGGAUGAUAAGAAAAUGUUCAGAAAAUUAUCCUGGAAGAGUGUUUUGGCAGAAGAUAAGAGAUACGCAUUGUAGCCAAUAGCACAAACUAGUUAGUUUAUUACAUUAAUCCACUUUUUCUGUUACAAUCUACUGCCAUAAGAAAGUCCUCGUGAAGCAGGUCAGAAUUUUACAGUGAGCAAAAGUGUUGGGAGAAAUAAAGAUACGUUAAUGCAAACCUGAAUAUAAAACAGCAUCUACAGGAAGGCCCUCACCAAAAUCAGCCAUCCAUCCUCUAACUCCAUCAUCCACCAUGUCUCCAAGAAUCUGCUUGAACCAAGUUGCAGUUUUUGGAUGCGUUAGAUCUAGCAUUCCUACAUCAAAAGCCGUGUUUGGAACCAUGUAUGGAUUUCCAUUGCUGUCUUUUACCAAUAUGUCCAACUGUUUUGCCUCCUCAAAGAGGUUUCUCCUUUUGUUUUGUUUCUCAUCAACCUAUAGGAUUAGACAAAGAAAUUAUAUCAAUUUUCCUAAACUAGCCACAUGUCUUAUCUUACAAUUGCACUUAGCAAAAUGAAAUUAUGAUAGCAAAGCAAGAGACCAAUCAUGAAUUACUUCCACUAACGAUAAAAUGCAGUUUAUUGAAGAAAAACAAGUUAGUGACUGCAAUAUUUAUACUUGAAGUGAUUCAAAGGAAGCAUUACCGGUGCUAGACAGGGAUUGCAAUAUGUCAUAACUUUUAUAUUCUGAGAUCUAAGAUCUUCAAUAAGUCUUUUCCAUCCCCAAUACCUUUGCGAAUCCACUUCCCAAUUCCACCAGAGCUGUGAACCAAUCAAUGUUUUUCUCUGCCCCACCCAAUCCUGCACAGUUGCCACAAGUAAUCAUCAUAAAUUAAAAAUAUCAAAGAAUGGUAUUGAGUGUGUGUGCACAAGCCAAGUUGUUCAUCACAAGUUGUGGGAACUAAUUUGAUUUCCAGUAGUUACCAGUCGAGUUAGAAAUCUAUGUAUGUAACAUCAGUCAAACAAAAUACACCACUUAAAUUAUUAUAUAGCUCGGAUUGAAUCAAGAAAAAUAUAUCGUCUACAGAAGCAAACUGAACUGUGAAUUACAUGUUUGUUGAGACUACAGAGAUCCAAAGAGUGUAUAUGACUUUGAACUACUUUUGUUUUUCCUUUCUUUUUAAAUGUAGGGUUGAGGGAUUACCUGCAACCAAAAUGCCGAGAUAGGAACAUCAUAGGUCCUUAGUUCAUCCCAGAUAUGACGUACAGCCUCAGUGCCACCUUGCAUUCCAACUAUAGCACCAGAUAUAAUCCAUUCUGGAAGCUCAGGUAGCCUUCCAAUGCUUCCUGUGAAACGUUCAAUCAGUUCACAAGGUGAGUUUCCAUGCAAUAUCCUCCCUUCAGCAGAGUUUCCAUGUAUCUGCAAGCUCCACGGUACAAAAUAUGGAAUAAUGUAAGCUUUGAUUACUAAUACACACACAUUUAAAUCAUGAUUUCAUGACAUUAUAAUAAUUUUGAAUGUUCGAAAAUUUUGAAGUCCGACACAUAAUGCAUUCUUUAUUUCUUGAUGCAAGUUAUCAAUCAUAGUUUAAUUUCUUGGCUGUAUUAUUAAAUUCAUCAGUCAUCCUAUACCAAUUCUUUUAGAUAUUUUACCACAUUCAUCAUGUGAUACAAAUAUUUACCACUGCCCUAAUUUUACUUUAUUUUCAAAAAGAUCCAUUCAUCCUAAUGCAGUGCUCAACAUUUUCCAAUAUUCACUGCAUAAUUUCAAAGUUUCUUUGUACUAAUUACUCUAAUUUUGAACGGUAUUUUUUGGUAUAGAUCAGUCCGGUUAACAUGAAUACUUUAACCAUAUUUCUCAAUUUUUGUAACCAUACCUGUAUCUGUACUCUGUCUAGUUUAGUAAGAUCGAAAACAGUAUAAUCAUAUCCUUCAAGGCAGACAGACCUCAUUCUUGACGUUAUGUAGAAUGGAGAAGGAGCAUAAGUUGUACUCCAAUCACCUCCUGCCCUGCCAAUAAUAACAAAAUGUCAUAAUUCACUGCGUUUUCAACAAUAUAUAAAUAUGUGAGUGUGUGUGUUUUUAUGACUUACUGAUUUGAAUUAGGAUUAUAAAGCUGUACAUUACACUACCUGUAACUAAUCAAGUUAGCAGCCAGGGUUAUGGGUUGAUCUCCUCUGCCAAUACCUUGUUCUUGAACAAAUAUGGGCACCCUUUUGCCUUUGAAGUUCAUGUGAGAAAAUUGCUCCCCAAAGCCAUAAAACCUCUCUUUCUCAUCACUUGCAUAUGUCAACCACACUCUAUUGAACUCUUCUGGUUUUAUGAUAUCCAAGUCUGCUAUCUCGUCCUCCACUGAAGAGACUAGCAAAAACCCUCUUGGCCUAGAAAGGUACCAACACCAACCCAGUCUCUUUUUCCUAUUAUUCCGCCCCCUCUUGAAGCCCUGGUACCCUCCUGAAACUGUUUUAGAGACUUGGUUGCGGGAGGUGAAGUUAGGUUUCUCAAUCUUCACUUGAAACCCCACCUCAUGGUUGGUUUUCUGAUUGAACAAAACCCAAUACCUUGCAUACACAGAAGGUCCUUUUGCCUCAAACUGCAUAGUUGCUUGAAUGCCAUGCUUUUGAAACCUUUUACUCUUCUUAGUCAUAUUGAAAAGCCUUCCUGUGAUCAUCAAAGUAGGAAUCUGAAUCUCUUGAGCAUCAGUUUUCUUUUCCAACCUUCGAUACACAGAAGGAGAAUCUGGCACUUCACAUUCCAAAUGAUGAUCAAAUUGACCAUUGAUCACCCCAAUAUCCUCAAUGAUCCUAAUAUCCUCGAUGGUUUGGUGAUUGCAAACCAUAUGAACAUCUUUGUCUUUGACAAGAAAGGAUCCUCUACUUUCUUCCAAUUCUGUGUCAACCAGUGCAGCCGAGACAAAAGCCUGUCCAGGGAUAGUAGACCAAAUGGGUCUGGUUUGUUGAGAAAGGUGCGAAAUCGAGAGGUGCCCUCCAUUGUCGGAGGUCCAAGAAAGCUGAAAAUCACUGCCAAUUGAGAAGGUCUGAUCCGAAGGAACUCUUUUGGAAUUGAAGAAGAGAGAACCUUGGACAUAAGGGAUGGUGGUUGAAACUGAAGAAGGAAAAGGGUUGUUGAAAUGCUUAUGGUGCUUUUUGGUAAUCUUGAGAAUUGCCAUGACAGAAAAUUUAAAACUGAAAGUUUAAUACAAUGGUUAGUUGAAAGUAAACCUUAAAAUAUGAGUCCUAGAGAUACCUUUGAAGUUUUGUACAGAGUUUGUUUCUUUGACGCAUUUGAAAGAGGGUGAUAAAGUAUUUUUGGCUUGUUUUGUAUAAAAGUCUUUGGUAUGAAACUCAGAGUUUGACAUUACUUAAUUGCAUAACAGGACACAAUACUUCAGCAGCCAAAAUUGUUUGGCCUCACAGUGGAAAAAUCACGAUUCCAUUCCUUCUUUUCCAUUUAGUUUUGGUGCUGGAUUUCUAUUUUUUGUACUUAGAUGUGUUGUUAAAUUAUUACCAAGAAAUUAUUUGUCAGUUCAUCAUAAAAGUAGGUGGCCU
rnacentral:lncRNA from 1 species